CUUUGUUUACCAAAUCAAGCCUGGGCAAUGGCGGGCGCCCCUCCCCCAGCCUCGCUGCCGCCUUGCAGUUUGAUCUCAGACUGCUGUGCUAGCAAUCAGCGAGACUCCGUGGGCGUAGGACCCUCCAAGACAGGUGUGGGAUAUAAUCUCGUGGUGCGCCGUUUUUUAAGCCCGUCGGAAAAGCGCAGUAUUCGGGUGGGAGUGACCCGAUUUUCCAGGUGCCGUCCGUCACCCCUUUCUUUGACUCGGAAAGGGAACUCCCUGACCCCUUGUGCUUCCCAAGUGAGGCAGUGCCUCGCCCUGCUUCGGCUCGUGCACGGUUCGCGCACCCACUGACCUGCGCCCACUGUCUGGCACUCCCUAGUGAGAUGAACCCAGUACCUCAGAUGGAAAUGCAGAAAUCACCAUCUUCUGCGUCGCUCACGCUGGGAGCUGUAGACCGGAGCUGUUCCUAUUCGGCCAUCUUGAAUUGUAGGCAUUUUUAAAAACAGACUCUGGAGAUGAAUCUUUUCUAGUUAUAUACUUUAUUCUCACUCUUGUUGCCCAGGCUGGAGUAUAAUGGCACGAUCUUGGCUCACUGCAACCUCUGACUCCUGGGUUCAAGUGAUUCUCCUGACUGAGCCUCCCGAGUAGCUGGGAUUACAAGCAUACACCACCAUGCCUGGCUAAUUUUUGUAUUUUUAGUAGAGAUGUGGUUUCACCAUGUUGGCCAGAUUGGUCUCAAACUCCUGACCUCAGGUGAUAUGCCUGCCUUGGCCUCCCAAAGUGCUGGGAUUACGGACGUGAGCCACCGUGACUAGCCCUGUGUUUUUUUAUUUGACCUAGGUUACUUUUAGACCUAAUAUAAUUUUGGGUGAAGUUGGAAGUAGCCAGGGCAGGGGUCCUGGGAAUCUAGUGGCUACAAAGGGCAACCCAGAAUGUGGUGUCAUUGAGUGCAUGGCCAUCCUUCCACAUGAUCAAGGACAUGCCCCUGGGGUUCUAUUCCAAGACCCCAGAAGAAUGGGCCACCGCUGCCAAGAAGUAUAAUAUGUGUGUGGAAGACUAUCAGCCUUACUUGGAUGAUGGCAUGGAGUAUGGUAACUACUCAAAGUUCUUUGACCAUUCACAGUAGGAGAGGGAUCUGUGGUUUGACUGGGACCACCAAGACUUGAGGUUGAACUGGGGUGAACUGAUACACUGGCAUCUGGACAAGUAUAUCAGGAACCAUGUGGAUAUGGCCCUCCACCCCUGUUUCUUGGAAUAUCAUGUUCAAUAAUCUCUUCAGCUUCCUGACCUUCAUGAACUUUAUGUUCUAUGUAGUGGAGAAUUAUUCUACCUACCAGCCUGUGGGGCCAAAGCAGUAUCCUUUUAAUAAUCUGUACUUGGGACAAGACAGUGAUCCACCAAAGAACCUGAGCUAGUGUUUCACUAUGAGAUCUAAGGGCUUCAUAAGCUUUUGUGCCCUCUACCUAGGACUCCUUAAUUCCUAGAAAUUUAACUUGAAUGAAAUCUUUAACAAAACUUAGUGCCAUAGGAAAAAAUAUAUACAUGUAUAUGUACAUACAUAGUUUUUUCUUACUUUCUUAUUCAUUCUGAAAAUCUCUGCCUUUUAAAUGCAGUGUUUAGACCACCUACAUUUAAUGCAAUUAUUAAUUUGAUAGUUGUUAGGUCUAUUAUCUUAUGAUUUGUUUUACAUUCAUGCCAUGUAUUCAUUGUUGCUCUUUUCUUUUUCUCAUGUCCUAUCUUCUUUUAAUUAAUUUUUUUAUUUAAAUUUGUCUUUAGUUUUAUCUUACUAUUUAUUCCUGUUUUAACUUUUAU
rnacentral:lncRNA from 1 species